GACGGCAUGUCACACAGCAGUCUCCUUCCCUAGGCAAUAACCAUCCGCGGCACUAUCCACUCGCCGUAGCCGAAUACACAAACACACACACACACGGUUCCUGUGUCCCGUUGCUAACUCACGGCUAGCUUACGCUAACGUCUGUACUGUUGGUACUUUGGCUGUUGGGGGGCGAACAAAGAAACGACCCCGCGGUCACAUUUACCGGAGUGAUGCUAGGCGAAAAGUAUGCAUCGCCGUGAGAAGGAAUAUGGCGUUUUAUAUCGGUUUUGUUGGUGUUCCUGCAAAUAGACGGUUGCAGGUGGACUGGUGUUGACAUGGUCCGUGGGAGCUGGAGGUCCGCAGCUGUGUGGGACUGCAGUGAUUUUAUUUGUCUCCUAGCUGCAGAUAUGCAGCCUCAGUGGAUGCCAUCUGGGAAGAAGAGGAGGAAGAGGAACCUUCUAGAGACCACGUGAAGGAACAUCUUCUCUGUGCUGAAGCUCUGAGAUGAGUGCAGAGUUUCUGGACCACAACGGAGAAGUUCCUUCACUCCAUUCUUGCCUUCUUCAUACUGUUCUCACUGUUUACACAUAGUAUUGUAUGCCAUGAAAAAAAUGAAUAAAAAAUAAAUAGUAGUAGUAUGUAUUAUGUCAAAAAAUCUCUGAAAAAGUCGUACAGAAUGUCAAAAAGUGUUAUUACAUAGUUAUUACAUUGUAAUAACACUGUUAUAACAUGUAUUAUGUCAAAAAAGUCGUACAGAAUGUCAAAAAGUGUUAUUACAUAGUUAUUACAUUGUAAUAACACUGUCAUAACAUGUGUUAUG